rnacentral:lncRNA from 1 species
UAGGACUUGGUGAGCACGGUCCUUCUAUUCCACAGAAUGGAACUCCUUACUGUCUGCCCCAGGAAAAUAUCUUAAAUGAUCAGGGACAAUUUUCAGCACAGUCCACUAUUCCGCCCCGCAAUUUUUCACCGGUAAGUAAAGUUACCUAUGGCACAAUCAACAAUUCCAUCCUGCAAUUUUUCAUUGACAACCUGAACUCUUUCGUGGAUGCUAGGUUCCACAGGAUGACAUGAUCACAGGUGCAAGUCUAGCUGCCCAGGGAGAGGGAACCUCUUCACUUGGCCAUGUUUUUGCUGACCUUUCCAGUGGGUUUCCUUCAGAUCAAGUAUGUGUUCAUUUGAAUAAGUAUCUUUGUACUGACUUAAGUAUAUCAGUAUGUAGCAGUUAUACGGCUUUAAAUUUUUUCCUUUGUUAUGUCAUGAUGGUGUUUGUCUUGCAGUUCGGGGACUGCAACGGCCUGGAUCUGGAUAUAACUGAAUAUAUGAAGAACAAUGGCAUUGCACCAGCUAACAACGGUAUGCAAAUAUUUGAAAUUUCAAUACCCAUGGUACCACAGUGAAAAGGCGAUAAAUUUACGCGAUUUUCAAUGCCUUAGUGAUAACUUCUGUUGAUAUAAGCUCAACUGCUAAAUCAGGGAGCUUGUGUUGCAAUCAUCUUCCACAGUCAGAACUCUUUCCAUUUCAAUCUAGGAUGAUAGCAAAUUGGUAUUUACCUUCAUUAAAUCUAGAGUGUGCAUGUUUGACUGAUGACUACCAAACUGUUGAAACCCCGGCUGCUUAAAAGUUAAAUCUAGGCCUGGAUUUAAGAUCCUCCUCUUGAUCCGUGCGCUAAUGUCAUGUUUCUUUUGUUUCAGCAGACCUGUGGAACGCUAACGCCCCAUUUGAUGGUUAUGGACAUGAUGGUGGCAACCAGUGAUUGAUUAAACUUGAGACCACUGCAACAGGCUUAAUUUCCUCUACUAGACUCAUGAUGAUGGCAGUGUGUGAUUAAAUUAUUUGUGGUGAUUAAACAUUUCGUCUGUAAAUAUUGGUAGUGUUGCCAGUCCUAAUAGACAAUAUUGUUCAGCAACGUUAAAUUUGCUGUUGGUUGUAAUAGACAUUUGGCUUGUAUUCCUAAAAGCAAAUCUUUCAGAACAAGAACAUAUGUAACAUGUAUCGAAUACCUAGAGCGAAUAUUCAUAUUGAUUGACGAACUUCCGUCCGAUCCUGUUAAUCCAUCCUUAAUCCUUUUCUAAGUUGAGCAAAUAUUCGUACUGCAGAACUUGCUUGGUGUAAUCCUGUUAAUCCAUCUUCUUCCAAGUUAAGUGUUUCCUAUGGAUAUUCACACAUUGGCUGUAUGCAUCAAUUGAUGCAGAGGCCGGUGGUUUUAACCUCCUUUUCCAAAAAAAAAAGAAAAGAUGUUCACGCAUUUUCAGUCAUAGUUUGUUGUGCAUUAUGAAAUCGCUCUCAGCAAUUUGAACAUGGUAAAAAUACACAGAAGAGAAGAGGAGAGAGAACAUGAUAGUUGUACUACAAGAUUUCAGUUUCGUAAAUACCACAGAGCUUCCAUUCCUCCUACACCAAGUCCACACAGAUCGACACCACAAGCCCUCAUCCUCCGCUGCCCAUCUGCCAAAGCAAACAAGAACACACAAGACAGUUCAGGCAGGCAUGGAUGCAGAGUUCACCUGAGUUGGGAGGGACUGACUAGCCAACCAUGCAAAUGCAAGCAGGGCGGAGAAUUAGUAGCCGAUGUCGGCGCCGUCGUCGACCAAGGUCGCCGUUGAUGCCGGGGAUAGGUAUCGAUCACACGGUGUUAUGGGCCCUGGUCAAGAUCGCAGGAGGAGACGCUUCAAUCUGGCGAGAUCCCGGCUCUCGUUGCUGCUCUCUCGGAGGUGGAUCUCAUCUGGGAUAAUAUAUAUGGCAGAAUUUCCAAGGAAAUGCACGGUUGCCUUGUCGGCUGAGUGUAACUUCCAGGUCGCAACCUUUGUACGAG